CCUGGCGGCCGUAGCGCGGUGGUCCCACCUGACCCCAUGCCGAACUCAGAAGUGAAACGCCGUAGCGCCGAUGGUAGCAUGGGGUCUCCCCAUGCGAGAGUAGGGAACUGCCAGGC
rnacentral:rRNA from 1 species